AUUGAACGCUGGCGGAAUGCUUUACACAUGCAAGUCGAACGGCAGCACGGGGCAACCUGGUGGCGAGUGGCGAACGGGUGAGUAAUACAUCGGAACGUGCCCAAUCGUGGGGGAUAACGUAGCGAAGUUACGCUAAUACCGCAUACGAUCUACGGAUGAAAGCGGGGGAUCGCAAGACCUCGCGCGAAUGGAGCGGCCGAUGUCAGAUUAGGUAGUUGGUGGGGUAAAGGCUCACCAAGCCAACGAUCUGUAGCUGGUCUGAGAGGACGACCAGCCACACUGGAACUGAGACACGGUCCAGACUCCUACGGGAGGCAGCAGUGGGGAAUUUUGGACAAUGGGCGCAAGCCUGAUCCAGCCAUUCCGCGUGCAGGAUGAAGGCCUUCGGUUGUAAACUACUUUGUUACGGAACGAAAGGUACCUGGUUAAUACCUGGGCUCAUGACGGUACCGUAAGAAUAAGCACCGGCUAACUACGUGCCAGCAGCCGCGGUAAGUCUGAGUCGG
rnacentral:rRNA from 1 species